UAAAAAGAAAUUUCAUCCUCAAAAUUUUUCAUACCUGUCAUCAUUGUAUUGGAAGCCUGUGCAUUCUGUUGAGUAAGCGUAUACAUUCUUCCCUGGAUUUUAGAAAUCUGUCCACCACCCUUAUGUUGUCCUUCAUAAGUUCUUUGGCCAACUUGAUUUUCUAUAUUUAGCGGACAGCUAGCAAUUUUAUGAUCCAUCUGACCACAUUUGAAACAAGUACCUAUAUUCUAAUAGCAAUCCUUGUCUGCAUGAUUUUUGCCACAUCUGGAGCACGGCUCACCAUCAAUCUGUUGAGUCUUAUUGUCUACUGCU
rnacentral:lncRNA from 1 species